rnacentral:rRNA from 1 species
GAUUAACGCUGGCGGCGUGCAUAACACAUGCAAGUCGAACGAUGAAACUUAAAUGAUUUCUUCGGAAUGAACUUAAGUGGCUUAGUGGCGGACGGGUGAGUAACGCGUGAGUAACCUGCCUUACACAAGGGGAUAGCCGUUGGAAACGACGAAUAAUACCCUAUGAAACUAUCACUUCGCAUGAAGCGAUAGUCAAAGUGUUAGCGGUGUAAGAUGGACUUGCGUCUGAUUAGCUAGUUGGUGAGAAAAAAGCCCACCAAGGCAACGAUCAGUAGCCGGCUUGGGGGAGUGUACGGCCACAUUGGGACUGAGACACGGCCCAGACUCCUACGGGAGGCAGCAGUGGGGAAUUUUGCACAAUGGGGGAAACCCUGAUGCAGCGACGCCGCGUGAUUUAGAAGGCCUUCGGGUUGUAAAAAUCUUUUGUAUAGGAAGAAAAUGACAGUACUAUACGAAUAAGGCCCGGCUAAUUACGUG